rnacentral:rRNA from 1 species
GCAGUUAACACAUUAAGUGUACCGCCUGGGGAGUACGGUCGCAAGAUUAAAACUCAAAGGAAUAGACGGGGACCCGCACAAGCGGUGGAGCAUGUGGUUUAAUUCGACGAUACGCGAAGAACCUUACCUGGCCUUGACAUAAGCAGAACAUAAUAGAGAUAUAUUGGUGCUAGUUUACUAGAACUGCUAUACAGGUGCUGCACGGCUGUCGUCAGCUCGUGUCGUGAGAUGUUGGGUUAAGUCCCGCAACGAGCGCAACCCUCGUGUCUAGUUACUAACAGUUCGGCUGAGGACUCUAGACAGACUGCCUGGGUAACCAGGAGGAAGGUGAGGACGACGUCAAGUCAUCAUGGCCCUUACGGCCAGGGCUACACACGUGCUACAAUGGGGUAUACAGAGAGCAGCAAUACCGCGAGGUGGAGCAAAUCUUUAAAAUAUCUCCCAGUUCGGAUAGCACUCUGCAACUCGAGUGCUUGAAGUUGGAAUCGCUAGUAAUCGUGAAUCAGCAAUGUCACGGUGAAUACGUUCCCGGGUCUUGUACUCACCGCCCGUCACACCAUGGGAGUUGAAUUCAUUCGAAGCGGGGAUGCUAAAGUAGCUACCUUCCACAGUGGAUUUAGUAACUAGGGUGAAGUCGUAACAAGGUA